UACGAAGGGGGGCUAGCGUUGCUCGGAAUCACUGGGCGUAAAGGGUGCGUAGGCGGGUCUUUAAGUCAGGGGUGAAAUCCUGGAGCUCAACUCCAGAACUGCCUUUGAUACUGAGGAUCUUGAGUUCGGGAGAGGUGAGUGGAACUGCGAGUGUAGAGGUGAAAUUCGUAGAUAUUCGCAAGAACACCAGUGGCGAAGGCGGCUCACUGGCCCGAUACUGACGCUGGAGGCACGGAAAGCGUGGGGAGCCAAACAGGG
rnacentral:rRNA from 1 species